UGGCUCAGACGGUAAAGCGUCUGCUUUCAAUGCAGGUAGACCUGGGUUCGAUCCCUG
rnacentral:tRNA from 1 species